AUACGGAGGGUGCGAGCGUUAAUCGGAAUUACUGGGCGUAAAGCGUACGUAGGCGGUUGGUUAAGUUAGAUGUGAAAGCCCCGGGCUUAACCUGGGAACUGCAUUUAAAACUGGCGAACUAGAGUUGAGUAGAGGGGAGUGGAAUUUCAGGUGUAGCGGUGAAAUGCGUAGAGAUCCGAAUGAACACCAGUGGCGAAGGCGACUACCUGGACUCGAACUGACGCUGAGGUACGAAAGCGUGGGUAGCAAACGGGAUUAGAUACCCUAGUAGUCC
rnacentral:rRNA from 1 species